GAAAAAAACAAAUUCAAUUUGCACUAGUACUUUAUACAAACAAAUCCAAAUUGUAUUACAUUAAAAAUAUUGAAGGGAAAACCUUUUUUUCAGGAUAAAUAAUUCUCUGUAGUAGAAUAACAAUACCUAGAGAUAGUCUUUUCAAUAUUUGGCAUCCCUAAAACCCUCCAAUUCUUUGGCUUUGCUCCCUGUACUGCCUAUUAGGAAUUGGGCAACAACCCCCAUAUACUUAUUAGGAUGAUAGAUGUCCCACUUCACUAGGAAUGAAGUUUUCUUUCAAGCAUUUGAACAUGGAUGCUCCGAUGGUGGAAAAAGUAUAGUAUUGAAAAGCCUGGGAUUCCAAAAGCCAAUCACAAAAAUCAGUAUUUUUUGCAAAACACUGUAUUUUAGGUAUUGAAGUGAGUGACUAUUUAUGUAAGUAUGUGGGAUCGAUAGUAAAAUUAGCAUGCCAGCUUACCUUAGGCACUCUUUGCUCUGCCUAUGAAUUCUAGACUGCACAAUUGGACCAUCGAUACUGAGUGGUAAAAGAAAUGCACUUGGCUUUUGCUCAAAGGCACUGCUGUUUUAAAUGAGCUACUGCUGAGACCAGGCGACAAUUAAGUGUUGCUUCUUAGGAAGCCAUUUAUUUAAGCAGACACAUCAUUUAUCAAGGUCUUGGGGAAAACAGA